rnacentral:rRNA from 1 species
AUGGAGCAAGGGAGGCGAAGCUCUUGGAGGCUGGAGGUGCCAUGGACCUCGGGUGCACGAGGAGGAGCAGGGAAAGGAGGUCGGGCGGGCGACGUGCUUGUGCAGCAACGACCAAGCCAAGGUCGCAGACGGCGGAGGUUCGGCGCUGGAGAAAUAGGAAGGCCACGGCAGAGGAACCGGUCUCCGGCGACGAGGUGCAGCAGCGGCAGCGGCCAUGGAGGACGGCAGCGUUGA